UAACUCAUUAGUGUUCAGGGGUUA
rnacentral:siRNA from 1 species